GACGAGGGGUCCUAGCGUUGUUCGGAAUCACUGGGCGUAAAGAGUAUGUAGGCGGCUUGAUAAGUCGGGUGUGAAAUCCCAUGGCUCAACCAUGGAACUGCACUCGAAACUGUCGAGCUUGAGUAUUGGAGAGGAUGACAGAAUUCCUGGUGUAGUGGUGAAAUACGUAGAUAUCAGGAGGAACACCGGUGGCGAAGGCGGUUAUCUGGCCAUAUACUGACGCUGAGAUACGAAAGUGCGGGGAUCAAACAGG
rnacentral:rRNA from 1 species